GACCGCUCAGGUUGCCUAGUGGCUAGAGCGUUCGCCUCGGAUGCGGAAGGUCGUGGGUUUUAUCCCCGGCCGAGUCA